rnacentral:pre_miRNA from 1 species
AGUACUUGGUACCUAGUAGGUGUUCAGUAAGUGUUAGUGACAUAAUUCGUUUAUUGAGCACCUCCUAUCAAUCAAGCACUGUACUAGGCUCUGG